UAAAUACAUUUGAAAAUUGGUGCCUAUUAUAGGUUAAAAGGGAAUCAGGAACAAGCCUGAGCGGUCCCGCCACUGUAACCAGCUACAAACCGUGUCAUAACCACUGAGAAUUCGGGAAGGGAUGCGGGGAGGAUUAUCUGGGAGCCAGGAAACCUGCCUGUUUUUAGAUUUUGAA
rnacentral:ncRNA from 2 species